AGAACGAACGCUGGCGGCGUGGAUAAGACAUGCAAGUCGAACGCGAUUUAUCAGGUUAGCAAUAACUUGGUAAAUUGAGUGGCGAAAGGGUGCGUAACACGUGGGAAUUUACCGAGAAGUGGGGAAUAGCUCGACGAAAGUCGAAUUAAUACCGCAUGUGAUCGAAAGAUCAAAGCCGGGGACCGCAAGGCCUGGCGCUUCUUGAGAAGCCCGCGGCCCAUCAGCUAGUUGGCGGGUAAAAGCCCACCAAGGCUAUGACGGGUAGCUGGUCUGAGAGGACGACCAGCCACACUGGAACUGAGACACGGUCCAGACACCUACGGGUGGCAGCAGUCGAGAAUUUUUCACAAUGGAC
rnacentral:rRNA from 1 species